ensembl:Y_RNA Y_RNA Y RNA
GGCUUAUCCAAUGGUAGUGGGUUAUCAGAACUUAUUAAUAAAAUUUGUGUCACUAAAGUUGGUAUACAACCUCCUAUUGCUAAAUUUGACUGGCUUAAA